UACGGAGGGUGCAAGCGUUAAUCGGAAUUACUGGGCGUAAAGGGUGCGUAGGCGAUUAUUUAAGUCUGCCGUGAAAUCCCCGGGCUCAACCUGGGAAUGGCGGUGGAUACUGGAUAGCUAGAGUGUGUCAGAGGAUGGUGGAAUUCCCGGUGUAGCGGUGAAAUGCGUAGAGAUCGGGAGGAACAUCAGUGGCGAAGGCGGCCAUCUGGGACAACACUGACGCUGAAGCACGAAAGCGUGGGGAGCAAACAGG
rnacentral:rRNA from 1 species